rnacentral:sRNA from 1 species
GCCGGGUGCAGUGUCGCACGCCUGUAAUCCCUGGGGUUCUGGAGGCUGAGGCAGGAGGAUCACCAGUUCAAAGCCAGCCUCAGCAAAAGCAAGGUGCUAAGCAAGUCAGUGAGACCCUGUCUCUA